rnacentral:rRNA from 1 species
CACGGGUGCGUAACACGUGGGUAACCUGCCCUCCAAAGGGGAUAACCCCGCGAAAGCGGGGCUAAUACCGCAUGACAUUCCAGAUUCUUCGGAAUUCGGAUUCAAAGCCCGCAAGGGCGUUGGAGGAGGGGCCCGCGGCCGAUUAGCUUGUUGGCGAGGUAACGGCUCACCAAGGCAAUGAUCGGUAGCCGGUCUGAGAGGAUGGCCGGCCACACUGGAACUGAGACACGGUCCAG